UACGGAGGGAGCUAGCGUUGUUCGGAAUCACUGGGCGUAAAGCGCACGUAGGCGGAUCUUUAAGUCAGGGGUGAAAUCCCGAGGCUCAACCUCGGAACUGCCUUUGAUACUGGGGAUCUCGAGUCCGGGAGAGGUGAGUGGAACUGCGAGUGUAGAGGUGAAAUUCGUAGAUAUUCGCAAGAACACCAGUGGCGAAGGCGGCUCACUGGCCCGGAACUGACGCUGAGGUGCGAAAGCGUGGGGAGCAAACAGG
rnacentral:rRNA from 1 species